AGAGGAAGGCUCGUCCGCUCUGGGUUAGUCGGGUCCUAAGCUGAGGCCGACAGGCGUAGGCGAUGGAUAACAGGUUGAUAUUCCUGUACCACCUAUAAUCGUUUUAAUCGAUGGGGGGACGCAGUAGGAUAGGCGAAGCGUGCGAUUGGAUUGCACGUCUAAGCAGUAAGGCUGAGUAUUAGGCAAAUCCGGUACUCAUUAAGGCUGAGCUGUGAUGGGGAGAAGACAUUGUGUCUUCGAGUCGUUGAUUUCACACUGCCGAGAAAAGCCUCUAGAUAGAAAAUAGGUGCCCGUACCGCAAACCGACACAGGUAGUCAAGAUGAGAAUUCUAAGGUGAGCGAGCGAACUCUCGUUAAGGAACUCGGCAAAAUGACCCCGUAACUUCGGGAGAAGGGGUGCUCUUUAGGGUUAACGCCCAGAAGAGCCGCAGUGAAUAGGCCCAAGCGACUGUUUAUCAAAAACACAGGUCUCUGCUAAACCGUAAGGUGAUGUAUAGGGGCUGACGCCUGCCCGGUGCUGGAAGGUUAAGAGGAGUGGUUAGCUUCUGCGAAGCUACGAAUCGAAGCCCCAGUAAACGGCGGCCGUAACUAUAACGGUCCUAAGGUAGCGAAAUUCCUUGUCGGGUAAGUUCCGACCCGCACGAAAGGCGUAACGAUUUGGGCACUGUCUCAACGAGAGACUCGGUGAAAUCAUAGUACCUGUGAAGAUGCAGGUUACCCGCGACAGGACGGAAAGACCCCGUGGAGCUUUACUGUAGCCUGAUAUUGAAAUUCGGCACAGCUUGUACAGGAUAGGUAGGAGCCUUUGAAACGUGAGCGCUAGCUUACGUGGAGGCGCUGGUGGGAUACUACCCUAGCUGUGUUGGCUUUCUAACCCGCACCACUUAUCGUGGUGGGAGACAGUGUCAGGCGGGCAGUUUGACUGGGGCGGUCGCCUCCUAAAAGGUAACGGAGGCGCUCAAAGGUUCCCUCAGAAUGGUUGGAAAUCAUUCAUAGAGUGUAAAGGCAUAAGGGAGCUUGACUGCGAGACCUACAAGUCGAGCAGGGUCGAAAGACGGACUUAGUGAUCCGGUGGUUCCGCAUGGAAGGGCCAUCGCUCAACGGAUAAAAGCUACCCCGGGGAUAACAGGCUUAUCUCCCCCAAGAGUUCACAUCGACGGGGAGGUUUGGCACCUCGAUGUCGGCUCAUCGCAUCCUGGGGCUGUAGUCGGUCCCAAGGGUUGGGCUGUUCGCCCAUUAAAGCGGUACGCGAGCUGGGUUCAGAACGUCGUGAGACAGUUCGGUCCCUAUCCGUCGUGGGCGUAGGAAAUUUGAGAGGAGCUGUCCUUAGUACGAGAGGACCGGGAUGGACAUACCUCUGGUGUACCAGUUGUCGUGCCAACGGCAUAGCUGGGUAGCUAUGUGUGGACGGGAUAAGUGCUGAAAGCAUCUAAGCAUGAAGCCCCCCUCAAGAUGAGAUUUCCCAACUUCGGUUAUAAGAUCCCUCAAAGAUGAUGAGGUUAAUAGGUUCGAGGUGGAAGCAUGGUGACAUGUGGAGCUGACGAAUACUAAUCGAUCGAAGACUUAAUCAA
rnacentral:rRNA from 2 species